rnacentral:rRNA from 1 species
CAGCAGCCGCGGUAAUACAGAGGGUGCGAGCGUUAAUCGGAUUUACUGGGCGUAAAGCGUGUGUAGGUUGUUGUUCAAGUCAGAGGUGAAAGCCCGGGGCUCAACCCCGGAACUGCCUUUGAAACUAGGUGACUAGAAUCUUGGAGAGGUCAGUGGAAUUCCGAGUGUAGAGGUGAAAUUCGUAGAUAUUCGGAAGAACACCAGUGGCGAAGGCGACUGACUGGACAAGUAUUGACGCUGAGGUGCGAAAGCGUGGGGAGCAAACAGGAUUAGAUACCCGUGUAGUCCCUGUCUCUUAUAC